GUGCCAGCAGCGGCGGUAAUACGUAGGUGGCAAGCGUUGUCCGGAUUUAUUGGGCGUAAAGCGAGCGCAGGCGGUUUCUUAAGUCUGAUGUGAAAGCCCCCGGGCUCAACCGGGGAGGGUCAUUGGAAACUGGGGAACUUGAGUGCAGAAGAGGAAAGUGGAAUUCCAUGUGUAGCGGUGAAAUGCGCAGAGAUAUGGAGGAACACCAGUGGCGAAGGCGACUUUCUGGUCUGUAACUGACGCUGAUGUGCGAAAGCAUGGGGAUCAAACAGG
rnacentral:rRNA from 1 species